AUACUCAGAGAGAAGCUGCAAUGUGGGCAACCGCCACACUCAUUUUACUCAGCAUUCCUGGAGGGCAAGAGGGCAAUUCCUAAGGGCCUGUCUAUGGCGGUGCAGCUAAUGGGAAAACAGGAGAGGAGCCUGCCACUCUAGCAAAGAGAAUUUCCAGCUCUGCGUCUCCAGGGAGUAAGAAAAGAGAAAUGGAAAAUAGAAAACAAAGCUGGCUGCUUCAACAGUAACUCAGUGCUCUCCAUAACAGCAAUCCCAUGCAUGGUCUCCAGAGGUACAUCUCAGUUCCCUUUUCAAUACCCAAAGCAAUUUUCCUGAGAGAUUGGAAAAUCAGGAGGAGGCAAGCCGAUGACAUUUUGAUUGCAGGCCCCACUCGGAGAGGCAUUGUGGAACUUUCUGGUUAACAAAGUUAAAACCAAAACAAAGUAAAUGACGAAUCCACCACCUCAAUCUGCAUUGUAUUUUUUGUUUUUAAAGAAAAUGGUAAAACUUUUGCUGCUGCUUUUAGUGACUGAGAUUUUCAAGAGUGGAUUGAAGAAAUUAUUAUCAGUCUGUUUGGCAGCUAAGAAACCUGCUUUGAGAUGGGUAGUUGCUUAUUAAUAAUACUGCUUUCCACUUCAGCCUCAUCUGUAAGGCACUGAACUAGCUGCUACUGGGUCUUCAACCUACCUUCAGACUUCUACUGCAUGAAGUCUUUCCACAUCUACUGUGAGAUGGAUCACUUCUUCUCCGUUCCCAGCACUUUUUGGGUAUCUCUCCUAUGUCAUAGGAGAGACAUUACAUCUAUGUAAUAGAUGUAAUGAUGUUGUACAAGGCUGAGCAACCUCAGCCUUGCUCUAAAAUUAUUUACAUCAUAGUUUACCAUUCUUUGAGGGUGGCACUUUGCAUUUCAUAGAAUAAUUGAACAUUUAGAGAAUUAAUUGAAUGAAUGCAUGGAUGCAGAGUUGGAUGGAGGAAUGGAUACAUGAUGGUAGAUGAAUGAAUGGAUGGAUGAAGGGACGAUUGGUCCAGGAGGAAAUAGAAAAAUAAUUGCAACUAUUCUUUUCUUGGAGGUGCACUGGUGUCCAGUGAGCAUGUAAUGCAGGCAGUACUGCUAACACCUACAUAACAUGCCCCGCAUCAACUAGAGCUUCGCUUUACCUCCAUAUGAAAAAAAACUUAUUUUCCAAAAAUAAUUUUUAAAAUUUAAAAAUCUGAAAAAAGAGAAGAAGAAUUGUGACUUUUACAAUACUUGACAUUAGAUGGAUAGAGACUUUGUCAUCUUUCUACAGACCUGGAUAAUGGUUUACUGGGUGAUGGUGUUGUUUAAAAUAUUUUUUGCUCUGUUUUUUGUCAUUUUCCUUUGAGUCUACCUUCUAUUUUCCUUCAUAAUCUAGAGGUAAUAUUUGCCAUAGCUUCACAUGUAGACUGAUUAGGAGGGAACUACAGGGAGAGUUUUAUUUUAAACUUAUGACUUUUUUUUCCAUCACAUCUUGAGAUAGUCACAUAAAAACUUUAUGGGACACUAUUGAUAAAUUGUAAGAACAUAAUAGCCAAAAGCUUUUUCUUUUUCUUUACUUCUUUUUUUUCUUUCUUUGUGUUCAUGGCUGUUCUUAAUAUUUAUGCUAGUGGCUUGUAAAAAUUAAGUUUAUUUUGAUUUUUUCUGUAUCUUUUUUAAUAGAAAAAAAAUGACAGAGUAGUUAAAAUUUACCCCUAAAGCUAUGGAAAUAAAAAUGAUCUAUCUUCCAAGUCACCUCUAUAAAUGUUCUUUGAAAUUAAACGGACUGUCUUGAAAACAAGAUUGCCAGUUUCCUAUUCACUCAUAGAUGUAAUAUCAAUUGUGUCUCCUAUUAUUGCCUUUCUAAGUCUUUCGUUUGUACAAAAACCAUGUUUAAAACAUAUCAUCAUCCAAUACAGUGUCUGUAAGAAAAACAAACCAUGAUUGAUUUGGAUAGAUAUGAAUGUUAAUAUCUUUUUCUUUGAAUUUCUGGCUUGCAUUUUUAUUAAAAGUAUGAUAUUAAAUAUA
ensembl:lncRNA novel transcript